GUCGUCGUAGCUCAGCUGGUCAGAGCGCUUCCCUGAUGAGGAAGGGGCGGUUCGGGCCCGCCCGACGACACCA
rnacentral:tRNA from 3 species